rnacentral:rRNA from 1 species
UACGGAAGGCAGCAGUGGGGAAUAUUGCACAAUGGGCGCAAGCCUGAUGCAGCCAUGCCGCGUGUAUGAAGAAGGCCCUUCGGGUUGUAAAGUACUUUUCAGUCGUGAGGAAGGUGUUAAGGUUAAUAACCUUAGCAAUUGACGUUAGCGACAGAAGAAGCACCGGCUAACUCCGUGCCAGCAGCCGCGGUAAUACGGAGGGUGCGAGCGUUAAUCGGAAUUACUGGGCGUAAAGGGCACGCAGGCGGUUAAUUAAGUUGGAUGUGAAAUCCCCGGGCUUAACCUGGGAAUGGCAUUCAAGACUGGUUAGCUAGAGUCUUGUAGAGGGGGUAGAAUUCCAUGUGUAGCGGUGAAAUGCGUAGAGAUGUGGAGGAAUACCGGUGGCGAAGGCGGCCCCCUGGACAAAGGGACCUGACGCUCGAUGUGCGAAAGCGUGGGGAGCAAACAGGGAUUAGAUACC